rnacentral:rRNA from 1 species
UACGUAGGGUGCAAGCGUUAAUCGGAAUUACUGGGCGUAAAGCGUGCGCAGGCGGUUUUGUAAGUCUGUCGUGAAAGCCCGGGCUUAACCUGGGAAUUGCGAUGGAGACUGCAAGGCUUGAAUCUGGCAGAGGGGGGUAGAAUUCCACGUGUAGCAGUGAAAUGCGUAGAGAUGUGGAGGAACACCGAUGGCGAAGGCAGCCCCCUGGGUCAAGAUUGACGCUCAUGCACGAAAGCGUGGGGAGCAAACAGG